rnacentral:rRNA from 1 species
AGUGAACGCUGGCGGUAGGCCUAACACAUGCAAGUCGAACGGCAGCACAGUAAGAGCUUGCUCUUACGGGUGGCGAGUGGCGGACGGGUGAGGAAUACAUCGGAAUCUACUUUUUCGUGGGGGAUAACGUAGGGAAACUUACGCUAAUACCGCAUACGACCUACGGGUGAAAGCAGGGGAUCUUCGGACCUUGCGCGAUUGAAUGAGCCGAUGUCGGAUUAGCUAGUUGGCGGGGUAAAGGCCCACCAAGGCGACGAUCCGUAGCUGGUCUGAGAGGAUGAUCAGCCACACUGGAACUGAGACACGGUCCAGACUCCUACGGGAGGCAGCAGUGGGGAAUAUUGGACAAUGGGCGCAAGCCUGAUCCAGCCAUACCGUGUGGGUGAAGAAGGCCUUCGGGUUGUAAAGCCCUUUUGUUGGGAAAGAAAAGCAGUAGGUUAAUACCCCGCUGUUCUGACGGUACCCAAAGAAUAAGCACCGGCUAACUUCGUG